rnacentral:rRNA from 1 species
UGGGGAAUAUUGCACAAUGGGCGCAAGCCUGAUGCAGCCAUGCCGCGUGUAUGAAGAAGGCCUUCGGGUUGUAAAGUACUUUCAGCGGGGAGGAAGGCGAUAAGGUUAAUAACCUUGUCGAUUGACGUUACCCGCAGAAGAAGCACCGGCUAACUCCGUGCCAGCAGCCGCGGUAAUACGGAGGGUGCAAGCGUUAAUCGGAAUUACUGGGCGUAAAGCGCACGCAGGCGGUCUGUCAAGUCGGAUGUGAAAUCCCCGGGCUCAACCUGGGAACUGCAUUCGAAACUGGCAGGCUAGAGUCUUGUAGAGGGGGGUAGAAUUCCAGGUGUAGCGGUGAAAUGCGUAGAGAUCUGGAGGAAUACCGGUGGCGAAGGCGGCCCCCUGGACAAAGACUGACGCCCAGGUGCGAAAGCGUGGGGAGCAAACA